AUAACGGUCCUAAGGUAGCGAAAUUCCUUGUCGGGUAAGUUCCGACCCGCACGAAUGGUGUAACGAUCUGGGCACUGUCUCAACUACCCACCCGGCGAAAUUGUAGUACCGGUGAAGAUGCCGGUUACCUGCGGCAAGACGGAAAGACCCCAUGGAGCUUUACUGUAGCCUGAUAUUGGGUUUCGGAAAUCUAUGUACAGGAUAGGCGGGAGACUAGGAAACAUGAGCGUCAGCUUGUGUGGAGUCGAUGUUGGGAUACCGCCCUUAGGUUUCUGGAAUUCUAACCUGCGGCCGUGAAUCCGGUCGGGGGACAUUGUCAGGUGGGCAGUUUGACUGGGGCGGUCGCCUCCGAAAAGGUAACGGAGGCGCUCAAAGGUUAGCUCAGCACGGACGGAAACCGUGCCUCUGAGUGUAAACGCAAAAGCUAGCCUAACUGCGAGGGUGACGGCCCGAGCAGUAACGAAAGUUGGAGUUAGUGAUCCGGCGGUAUGUGAAUGGAAAUGCCGUCGCUCAACGGAUAAAAGCUACCCUGGGGAUAACAGGCUGAUCUCCCCCAAGAGUCCACAUCGACGGGGAGGUUUGGCACCUCGAUGUCGGCUCAUCGCAUCCUGGGGCUGUAUUCGGUCCCAAGGGUUUGGCUGUUCGCCAAUUAAAGCGGUACGCGAGCUGGGUUCAGAACGUCGUGAGACAGUUCGGUCCCUAUCUGUCGUGGGCGCAGGAUAUUUGAGGAGUGCUGUCCCUAGUACGAGAGGACCGGGAUGGACGCACCUCUGGUGCACCAGUUGUCACGCCAGUGGCACAGCUGGGCAGCUAUGUGCGGAACGGAUAAACGCUGAAGGCAUCUAAGCGUGAAGCCGCCCUUAAGAUAAGAUAUCCUUUCUGUUUACAGAGUAAGACCCCUUGAAGACUACAAGGUUGAUAGGCUCAAAGUGUAAGCACGGUGACGUGUUUAGCUAGCGAGUACUAAUCGGUCGAGGGCUUAACCUU
rnacentral:rRNA from 1 species